rnacentral:rRNA from 1 species
UCGAGAAUUUUUCGCAAUGGGGGAAACCCUGACGGAGCGACGCCGCGUGCAGGAUGAAGGCCUUCGGGUUGUAAACUGCUGUCACCUGGGCCGAAAUUUGCGGAGUUAACACCUUACGCAUUUGACGGUACCAGGAGAGGAAGCCACGGCUAACUCUGUGCCAGCAGCCGCGGUAAGACAGAGGUGGCUAGCGUUGUUCGGAUUCAUUGGGUGUAAAGGGUGCGUAGGCGGUUUGGAAAGUCAGAUGUGAAAUCCUACAGCUCAACUGUAGAACUGCAUUUGAAACUCCCAGGCUAGAGUGUGAGAGAGGUGAAGGGAAUUCCCGGUGUAAGGGUGAAAUCUGCAGAGAUCGGGAAGAACACCAGUAGCGAAGGCGCUUCACUGGCUCGCAACUGACGCUGAGUGCACGAAGGCGUGGGGAGCAAACG